AGCCAUUGUUACAGGCACUUCAAAGCCAACUAGAGCUUAUUCUAUCUUCAAGAAUGAGAAGAGUUGGGCUGAUAUUGUUGAAGAAGAAGAAGCACAAGAAGCAUUCUCAACUUCAAAAAUGGAUUUUAUGAUCAAUACAGAGACAACCCUGUCCCAAGACUCAACAGUUCCUUUUCAAAUCUCUACAAAAUGGCUGAAUGAAGGUAAUUAUGGAGAAUCCUUUCAUGAUGAAAAUUUGAACUCCAACAUCAUCAAGGUCAUUCCUCCUCUUU